CAGUAGCCGCGGUAAUACCGAGGAUCCAAGCGUUAUCUGGAAUCAUUGGGUUUAAAGGGUCCGUAGGCGGUCUUGUAAGUCAGUGGUGAAAGCCCAUCGCUCAACGGUGGAACGGCCAUUGAUACUGCAGGACUUGAAUUAUUGGGAAGUAACUAGAAUAUGUAGUGUAGCGGUGAAAUGCUUAGAGAUUACAUGGAAUACCAAUUGCGAAGGCAGGUUACUACCAAUUGAUUGACGCUGAUGGACGAAAGCGUGGGUAGCGAACAGGAUUAGAUACCCCCGUAGUCCCUGUCUCUUAUAC
rnacentral:rRNA from 1 species